rnacentral:tRNA from 2 species
UAUAUAUAGUGUAAAUAGCACAACAGUUUUUCAUAUUGUAAGAAUGAUAUUUUAUUAUAUCAG